AGAGUUUGAUCCUGGCUCAGGACGAACGCUGGCGGCGGGCUUAACACAUGCAAGUCGAAGGAGAACCCCGACAACUUUGUUGUCGGGGGGAGACUGGCGCACGGGUGAGUAACGCGUAGAUAACCUGCCCAUAACUGGGGGAUAACCACUGGAAACGGUGGCUAAUACCGCAUAAUGUCCUGAUGCAGCAUUGCGUUGGGAUGAAAGGUUUCGAUUGGUUAUGGAUGGGUCUGCGUGCCAUUAGUUAGUUGGUAGGGUAACGGCCUACCAAGAUGAUGAUGGCUAGGGGGUCUGAGAGGAUGAUCCCCCACACUGGGACUGAGACACGGCCCAGACUCCUACGGGAGGCAGCAGUGAGGAAUCUUGCGCAAUGGAGGAAACUCUGACGCAGCCACGCCGCGUGCUGGAAGACGGUCCUAUGGAUUGUAAACAGCUUUUGCCGGGGAAGAACGUGCGGAUUUCGAUCUGCAGUGACGGUACCUGGUGAAUAAGCACCGGCUAACUCCGUGCCAGCAGCCGCGGUAAUACGGAUGGUGCGAGCGUUGUCCGGAAUCAUUGGGUGUAAAGGGUGCGUAGGCGGGUUGCUAAGUCUGGGGUGAAAUCCUGCCGCUUAACGGUAGAAUGGCCCCCGAUACUGGCAGUCUUGAGUACAGAAGAGGUCGGUGGAAUUCGUAGUGUAGCGGUGAAAUGCAUAGAUAUUACGAAGAACACCAGUGGCGAAAGCGGCCGGCU
rnacentral:rRNA from 1 species